GAUGAACGCUGGCGGCGUGCCUAAUACAUGCAAGUCGAGCGAACGGACGAGAAGCUUGCUUUUCUGAUGUUAGCGGCGGACGGGUGAGUAACACGUGGAUAACCUACCUAUAAGACUGGGAUAACUUCGGGAAACCGGAGCUAAUACCGGAUAAUAUUUUGAACCGCAUGGUUCAAAAGUGAAAGACGGUCUUUCUGUCACUUAUAGAUGGAUCCGCGCUGCAUUAGCUAGUUGGUAAGGUAACGGCUUACCAAGGCAACGAUGCAUAGCCGACCUGAGAGGGUGAUCGGCCACCCUGGAACUGAGACACGGUCGAGACUCCGACGGGAGGCAGCAGUAGGGAAUCUUACGCAAUGGGCGAAAGCCUGACGGAGCAACGCCGCGUGAGUGAUGAAGGUCUUCGGAUCGUAAAACUCUGUUAUUAGGGAAGAACAUAUGUGUAAGUAACUGUGCACAUCUUGACGGUACCUAAUCAGAAAGCCACGGCUAACUACGUG
rnacentral:rRNA from 1 species